rnacentral:rRNA from 1 species
GACAACGCUGGCGGCGUGCCUAACACAUGCAAGUCGAGCGGAGGUACUUGAGGAGUAAUCUGAGGGUACUUUAGCGGCGGACGGGUGAGUAACGCGUAGGCAACCUGCCCCGUACAGAGGGAUAGCCUCGGGAAACCGGGAUUAAGACCUCAUAAUACCAUUAUCUCACAUGUGAUAAUGGUCAAAGAUUUUAUCGGUAUGGGAUGGGCCUGCGUCUGAUUAGCUGGUUGGUGGGGUAACGGCUCACCAAGGCGACGAUCAGUAGCCGACCUGAGAGGGUAAUCGGCCACAUUGGAACUGAGACACGGUCCAAACUCCUACGGGAGGCAGCAGUGGGGAAUAUUGCACAAUGGGCGAAAGCCUGAUGCAGCAACGCCGCGUGAGCGAGGAAGGCCUUUGGGUCGUAAAGCUCUGUCGAGGAGGAAGAUAAUGACGGUACUCCUCGAGGAAGCCCCGGCUAACUACGUG